AGAGUUUGAUCAUGGCUCAGAACGUACGCUGGCGGCACGCCUAAUACAUGCAAGUCGAACGAGGUAGCAAUACCUAGUGGCAGACGGGUGAGUAACAUGUGGGUAUCUUCCCUUUGGUGAGGAAUAACACGAGGAAACUUGUGCUAAUACCUCAUAAGUCUUUACGGAGAAAGCUUUAUGCGCCAAUGGAUGAGCCUGCACUUGAUUAGUUAGUUGGUAGGGUAAUGGCCUACCAAGACUUUGAUCAAUAGCUGAUUUGAGAGGAUGAUCAGCCACAUUGGGACUGAGACACGGCCCAAACUCCUACGGGAGGCAGCAGUAGGGAAUCUUGCACAAUGGAGGAAACUCUGAUGCAGCGAUGCCGCGUGAGUGAAGAAGGCCUUUGGGUUGUAAAGCUCUUUCGUCGGGGAAGAAAAUGACUGUACCCGAAUAAGAAGGUCCGGCUAACUUCGUGCCAGCAGCCGCGGUAAUACGAAGGGACCUAGCGUAGUUCGGAAUUACUGGGCUUAAAGAGUUCGUAGGUGGUUAAAAAAGUUGGUGGUGAAAUCCCAGAGCUUAACUCUGGAACUGCCAUCAAAACUUUUUAGCUAGAGUAUGAUAGAGGAAAGCAGAAUUUCUAGUGUAGAGGUGAAAUUCGUAGAUAUUAGAAAGAAUACCGAUUGCGAAGGCAGCUUUCUGGAUCAUUACUGACACUGAGGAACGAAAGCAUGGGUAGCGAAGAGGAUUAGAUACCCUCGUAGUCCAUGCCGUAAACGAUGUGUGUUAGAUGUUGGAAAUUUAUUUUCAGUAUCGCAGCGAAAGCGUUAAACACACCGCCUGGGGAGUACGACCG
rnacentral:rRNA from 1 species